AUGAGGCCUUCGACACCAUUCUCCCCCUCUAUGCUAACUUUCGUGAUCCCAUCCUCUCCCUCCAUGAUAGCUUCCUCCAACUUCAUCCCUUCUUCAUCGACGAUCCCUCCUAUAUGAGCAAGGGAUAUUUUCAUCAUCUAUUGAAAUGAAAUACUAACAUCCUUUAUUGGUAAGUCAAUGGCAAGACCAUUUUAGAAUAUCUCAAAAAUUUGA
rnacentral:lncRNA from 1 species